GUGUUCGUAGAAAGGAGAGAUGGUUGGCAUCUCCCCUGACAGGGACGGGAACAGCCUUCGGGCUUACAUGUUACCACACAUCCGGUUAAGGCUACCCACUUCAGUGGAUCUUUUAACCCUUUUUUUUU